CUCCGGAGAACCCUAAUGCAGCAACCAAGAGCCUGGCCCUUUCUCGCUUUCUUGCAACAACUCCGGUCCCUCCGAGUCCCAGCCCUGCGAAGAAGCUGGCGGCCCAGCCUGAGAUCCCUCCCGGUUAGGACAGGGCUGUGGGCUGCGUGCAAGCCCUGGCUUCAGGCCUAGCACUGGGGAAAAGAGGCUAUCAGAGGUCCCCCCACUCCCUCCAUGGCGAGCAGAUGCGCAGAGGGGUGGCACUUAGCGGCAGAUGGCCCAAAGCUUGUGGACUCUGUUCACAUAGGGCCAGGGGAAGCAGGGCCUUGUCCUUGGCCUCUGGGCGCUCAGGACAGCGCUGUCUCUCUAGGACCACCGAGCUUUCUGUGUCACCAUCUGGAUCAUGGCUUUGCCCGCUCCACGCAGGUCCUUGGAAGCCCCAGGGAUGUCCUUGCUGCUCUGGAGAAACUUGGGCCAAGGGCUAAGACCCACUUCCGGCUGUGGCAAGAUCGAGAGAGAGAGGCCCGAUCGGUUCCGAGCAUCUCAGUGAAACUGGACAGAGAGAUGAAGGAAGAGGGAAAUCGGUUUCCCAUCAGGGAGGGACUCCAGCCUGCUGCACGCUGUCUGCCUGUCCUCACCCUCUGUUGGGGGCGCUGGCACUGGGGAGCACUGCACAAGGCCUAGGCAUCCAGGGAAACUCAAAAGCAAAGCCUGCUCAGAGACAUGAGAGGAUGGGUCAUAGGAGAGCACAUUGCAAGUGGUGAGCUCAGACUGGUAGUACACAUCCUGUCUCCAAAAUGAAAAGUAAAAAGGGCUGGGGAUGAAGCUCGGUGGUAGAGCAUUUGCCUAGCAUGCACAAGGCCCAGAGUUUGGCGCCAGCCCUGGAAAAAAAGCGAAAAGCCAACAGUGAAAGCCAGACGUGGUGACGCACACCUAUAGUCCCAGCUACCCAGAAGCUGAGGCAGGAGGAUCCAUUGAGCCCAUAAGUUUGAGACCAGCUUGGAGAAAGCGGGAUCGAACUCAGGACCUUGCGCUUUCGAGGCAGGUGCCAGAACCACUGAGGGUCCCGGUAUGCUGUCCAGGCUGGUCUUGAACUCAUGGACUCAAGCGCUUCUCCUGCCUCAGCCGCCCAAAUAGGCUGGACUACAGGUGUGUGCCACCAUGCCUGGCUUCAAGUUCCACUUUUCUGUUUUCUUUACCACUGCAUCACCGCGUGUCCACACAGAGCAG
rnacentral:lncRNA from 1 species